GGAGAGAUGGCUGAGUGGUCUAAAGCGGCAGUUUGCUAAAUUGCUAUACAACAUUAAUUGUAUCGUGGGUUCGAAUCCUACUCUCUCCG
rnacentral:tRNA from 1 species